GACGAACGCUGGCGGCGUGCUUAACACAUGCAAGUCGAACGGAAAGGCCCUGCUUUUGUGGGGUGCUCGAGUGGCGAACGGGUGAGUAACACGUGAGUAACCUGCCCUUGACUUUGGGAUAACUUCAGGAAACUGGGGCUAAUACCGGAUAGGAGCUCCUGCUGCAUGGUGGGGGUUGGAAAGUUUCGGCGGUUGGGGAUGGACUCGCGGCUUAUCAGCUUGUUGGUGGGGUAGUGGCUUAUCAAGGCUUUGACGGGUAGCCGGCCUGAGAGGGUGACCGGCCACAAUGGGACUGAGAUACGGCCCAGACUCCUACGGGAGGCAGCAGUGGGGAAUAUUGCACAAUGGGCGGAAGCCUGAUGCAGCAACGCCGCGUGCGGGAUGACGGCCUUCGGGUUGUAAACCGCUUUCGCCUGUGACGAAGCGUGAGUGACGGUAAUGGGUAAAGAAGCACCGGCUAACUACGUG
rnacentral:rRNA from 1 species